GGUGACAGGUGGUGGCAUGGUUGUCGUCAGCUCGUGUCGUGAGAUGUUGGGUUAAGUCCCGCAACGAGCGCAACCCCUAUUGUUAGUUGCCAUCAUUCAGUUGGGCACUCUAGCGAGACUGCCGGUAAUAAACCGGAGGAAGGUGGGGAUGACGUCAAAUCAUCAUGCCCCUUAUGACCUGGGCUACACACGAGCUACAAUGGUUGGUACAACGAGUUGCGAGUCGGUGACGGCGAGCUAAUCUCUUAAAGCCAAUCUCAGUUCGGAUUGUAGGCUGCAACUCGCCUACAUGAAGUCGGAAUCGCUAGUAAUCGCGGAUCAGCACGCCGCGGUGGAUACGUUCCCGGGCCUU
rnacentral:rRNA from 1 species